UUUUCUCUCACUUUCCCUGGAAAAAAAAAGAAAAGAAAACACACACACAGAACAUACUAGUACGAGAAUUGUAUUGGAUAAAUCAGUUGGGCUUAUCUUGGGCCUGCAAUGGGGGAGCGGGAGGCCCAUAAUAUAUUGGAAUUUGGGCCGCUUGCCUUCGUCUACGGGCCCUUACCAAUAGGUAAACAGUAAGGCCCACAACCACAACGAACAACAGCAUCCAGAGUGGAAUUAUCACCACGUAACCCAUUUUCUAUUUCCUACGCCUUUUUUCCUUUGUUUCACCGAAACCAAGCAAGAAGUAACCCAG
rnacentral:misc_RNA from 1 species